UUGCGCAGACACUUUCAAUUACUAUGUAAAAACAGUUUAGCAAACACAGGUUGCUUCAGAAAAUCCCUUGUGUAUUGCUUAAAGUGGCAAGUUCAAUAUAUAGCAUUAUCAUGCAAAGUUUCAAAUGUUUUCGGCAUAUGUUCACUGAGUGCUUUUGGUACUCAGCCCUGCAUAUCUUUCUAAAUGUGCUGGUUAAGUUGGGAUGA
rnacentral:lncRNA from 1 species